UACGGAAGGUCAGGGCGUUAUCCGGAUUUAUUGGGUUUAAAGGGAGCGCAGGCGGGCUGUUAAGCCGGCUGUGAAAGUGCGGGGCCCAACCCCGUAUUGCGGUCGGAACUGAUGGUCUUGAGUGCACGCAGGGACGCUGGAAUUCACGGUGUAGCGGUGAAAUGCUUAGAUAUCGUGAAGAACUCCGAUGGCGAAGGCAGGUGUCCGGAGUGCUACUGACGCUGAGGCUCGAAAGUGCGGGUAUCGAACA
rnacentral:rRNA from 1 species